UUCGGAGUCCAUUUUGACUAUUCGGUUCAAUGUCUUAACAAACUUUGAUGCGUUAACCGCACCAAUUUCUCCAAUUCUUGAAGAGCUUUUCAGGUUCCGUGAUCUUGAUUCCCUUCUUGGCCUGGCCAACACCAAAACACAACUUCCUGAUGUUAUUGGUGAGCUAGCUGCUGUGAAGAUUACAGUGAGUGACAUUCCCCAAGGAAAUGAACGAAUCAUGGCAACCAUCAAAUCGAUAAUGACGUGUCUGUGACUCUGAGCCUGUUUGAGUCACAAGCUGUAACGUUUCACAACAAGCUUGAAGGCUUUGGGGGUGAUCCGAGAGUUUUGUCACAUCUAGAAUAAAUCCUAGGAUUGUAGGAGGCCGUAUGCUCUUAAAGGCCACGUCAGAGACUCAUGCAGGGGAGUUUUUUUUAACGAGAAAGUGUCUGAUGAUUCCUACGUUACUACAUCCACCUUCGGUUUGUUGUGAUACUGAUACAUAAGGCCCUCUCACGUGAUAUUUCACAUCGAUGUAGGCUGGCUUCUAGACAUAGUUGGAACAACCCUGCAUCUUCUUUGCUGAGGGGAUACACCAAGGUUGAACCACUGAGCAUAUCUGAGCUCACUAAGUUCAUUCUCACAGCCAAGCCUCAGGUGACUGGAAUCAAGAUGGAAAGAGGAUGGUGUUAUGUCUCCUGCUUCAUGUGCACGAGGAGGCUCCAACGAACUGUCUCCUCAUUCACUUGCGUGUCCCGCAAUAACACUAAAGCUAUUGGUGUGCUCAGGUACCGUGUGGAAAUGAGCAUAGCUGAUGACACGACGAGGGUCUAUUUGUUGGUUUUGAUGGUGAGAUGACAAAACUCCAUAACAUGCGAGCCUACGAAGCUGGUCAUCUCAUGCUUUCUUCACAUAGACUGGACCGGGAGUAAACCCAGAGGAGUCUCGGGCACCUCCUUUUAUACAAGGAGAUAUUCAAGGAUCCACAAGACCAAAAAGGCAACGUCUCCACUUUUGAAGAAAUUACUCAGUCAUGACCACGGUUUCGUAUUUGCAGAAAAUGAGAAUUUUAAUUACCGAAAACGUUCUCUUUUAUACCCCAAUUAUUAUGGAC